CCGCGGUAAUACGUAGGGGGCGAGCGUUGUCCGGAUUUAUUGGGCGUAAAGGGCGUGUAGGCGGCCUGGUAAGUCAGGGGUGAAAACUCGAGGCUCAACCUCGAGACUGCCUCUGAAACUGCUGGACUUGAGUGCUCUAGAGGGUAGUGGAAUUGCCGGUGUAGCAGUGAAAUGCGUAGAGAUCGGCAGGAACACCAGUGGCGAAGGCGACUACCUGGGGAGUAACUGACGCUGAGGCGCGAAAGCUGGGGGAGCAAACGGG
rnacentral:rRNA from 1 species